UACGUAGGGGGCGAGCGUUGUCCGGAAUUAUUGGGCGUAAAGCGCGUGUAGGCGGCUUGGUAAGUCCGCUGUGAAAACUCGGGGCUCAACCCCGAGCCUGCGGUGGAUACUGCCUCGCUUGAGUCCGGGAGGGGAGAGCGGAACUCCUAGUGUAGCGGUGAAAUGCGCAGAUAUUAGGAAGAACACCGGUGGCGAAGGCGGCUCUCUGGAACGG
rnacentral:rRNA from 1 species